UAAAAAGGAGAAAAAAGGUGAUAGAAAUCAGUCGAGUGAGAAUCUCCGACACGGUAAUUGCAGUCUGCAGUGCACUAUUCGUUACCAACUGCAUUCUUCGUAUUAUCAGUUCGCAAUCAUGGUCACAAUCGGAAAAAUUUGAUGUUCACGCUUGGAGGUCACAAGAAACAUUUCGUAAAACUGGCAUGCGGUGGUGUAGACUGUAGAGGUUAGGUGAGAACCGGACGUUUUGCAUCAUUAUCAGAAAGUAAACUAUGUCGUCGUGCUGAUGUUGGGGAAUGUAUCGGCUCGUUCAACCAUUGGUGUACUGAUGUCUUCUGGGUAUGGCGGGUAUGAAACCGCGACGCCGCACGUUACUACACCGAGGCCCCUAAGUACUACACUACCAAGUCUCCAGAUUAUUACACCACUACUUCGCUGCCCCGAACUACUACACCGAAUCCCCGAAAUAUUAUUCUUCCCCGAGCUACGCCAUCAAAGGGUCGAGUACUACAACGAGUCCCAUAAUGUCUACACCACUACAUAUCAUGGGAGAGAAGGCGAUAGAUACAGUCAAAUGGUUAUCACCGACAUGGCAACAACUGUAGUGCAGUAGUGGUCACCAACUGCAUUCUUCGUCGUACCAUCAGUUUUGCAAUCAUGGUAACUAUUUUGUCGUGCUGCUGUUGGGUGUCGUUUCGUUGAUGGCUGAGUCGACCACUGGUGU